AUUGAACGCUGGCGGCAGGCAUAACACAUGCAAGUCGAACGAGUGGCGGACGGGUGAGUAAUGUCUGGGAAAAUGCCCGAUGGAGGGGGAUAACUACUGGAAACGGUAGCUAAUACCGCAUACCAUCGGAUGUGCCCAGAUGGGAUUAGCGAGUAGGUGGGGUAACGGCUCACCUAGGCGACGAUCCCUAGCUGGUCUGAGAGGAGGACCAGCCACACUGUAACUGAUACACGGUCCAGACUCCUACGCGAGGCAGCAGAGGGGAAGAUUGCACAAUGGUCGCGAGCCUGAUGCAGCCAUGCCGCUUGUAUGAAGAAGGCCUUCGGGUUGGAAAGUACUUUCAGCGAGGAUGCGUUACUCGCAGAAGAAGCACCGGCUAACUCCGUGCCAGCGGCCGCGGUAAUUC
rnacentral:rRNA from 1 species